rnacentral:misc_RNA from 1 species
GCGUCAGAUGUGUAUAAGAGACAGGUGAGUCAUCGAAUCUUUGAACGUACAUUGCGCCCCCUGGUAUUCCGGGGGGCAUGCCUGUUCGAGCGUCAUUUAUACCAAUCUAGCCUGGCUAGGUGUUGGGCUCCGCCGUCUGGUGGGCCUUAAAACUAGUGGCGGUGCUCUUCAGCUCUACGCGUAGUAAUUUUCUCGCUAUAGGGUCUGGGGAGAUGCUUGCCAGCAACCCCAAAUUUUUCUAGGUUGACCUCGGAUCAGGUAGGGAUACCCGCUGAACUUAAGCAUAUCAAUAAGCGGAGG